CCAGUCAAGAUCGCACGCUGUCAUCUCUCUCCGGGGCUGUAACCUGCUCCAGGAAGGGGGAGAGACCUCUGCUCUGCUCUCCUGGCUGAUCUGAGGAGCUGCCAGCUAGUCACUCAUUCCCUCCUUGUCUACCUGCAGAUAUCAUCUCACUCAGGCUCUUGAGAGAGGAUCCUAUUCCACCGUACUCUGUGACAUGAUAUCUCUUGGGCAGUGUCUUAACUGCAACGGAGGUGUGGUUUUACAUCGAGCUAACUCUUGCCUAGAAGCUGAACCCUAGGUGCCUUUAUACAUUUUUCCCUGAUGCCUCAUUUCUAUGGGGACCAGCUGUGGUCUCCAAAAAGCUUGAGGUUAUGUCAAUGUCCAGCAUUCUACUCAAGAG